rnacentral:rRNA from 1 species
GGAUGUGAAAGCCCCGGGCUCAACCUGGGAACUGCAUCCAAAACUGGCAAGCUAGAGUACGGUAGAGGGUGGUGGAAUUUCCUGUGUAGCGGUGAAAUGCGUAGAUAUAGGAAGGAACACCAGUGGCGAAGGCGACCACCUGGACUGAUACUGACACUGAGGUGCGAAAGCGUGGGGAGCAAACAGGAUUAGAUACCCUGCU